rnacentral:rRNA from 1 species
AGUGAACGCUGGCGGUAGGCCUAACACAUGCAAGUCGAACGGCAGCACAGUAAGAGCUUGCUCUUACGGGUGGCGAGUGGCGGACGGGUGAGGAAUACAUCGGAAUCUACUUUUUCGUGGGGGAUAACGUAGGGAAACUUACGCUAAUACCGCAUACGACCUACGGGUGAAAGCAGGGGAUCUUCGGACCUUGCGCGAUUGAAUGAGCCGAUGUCGGAUUAGCUAGUUGGCGGGGUAAAGGCCCACCAAGGCGACGAUCCGUAGCUGGUCUGAGAGGAUGGUCAGCCCCGCUAGAACGGAGACACGGUCCAGACUCCUGCGGGAGGCAGAACUGGGGAAUAUUGGACAAGGGGCGCAAGCCGAAUCCAGCAAUACCGCGUGGGUGAAGAAGGCCUUCGGGUUGAAAAACCCUUUUGUGGGGAAAGAAAAGAAGCAGGUUAAUACCCCGCUGUUCUGACGGUACCAAAAGAAUAAGCACCGGCUAACUUCG